rnacentral:rRNA from 1 species
AGAGUUUGAUCCUGGCUCAGAAUGAACGCUGGCGGCGUGCUUAACACAUGCAAGUCGAACGAUGAAGCCUAGCUUGCUAGGUGGAUUAGUGGCGCACGGGUGAGUAAUAUAUAGAUAAUGUGCCUUUUAGUCUGGGAUAGCCAUUGGAAACGAUGAUUAAUACUAGAUACUCCUUCUAACUCUAAUGUUAGUUGGGAAAGUUUUUCGCUAAAAGAUCAGUCUAUAUCCCAUCAGUUAGUUGGUAGGGUAAUGGCCUACCAAGGCAAUGACGGGUAGCGGGUUUGAGAGGAUGAUCCGCCACACUGGUACUGAGACACGGACCAGACUCCUACGGGAGGCAGCAGUGAGGAAUAUUGCACAAUGGGGGAAACCCUGAUGCAGCAACGCCGCGUGGAGGAUGACGCAUUUCGGUGUGUAAACUCCUUUUAUAUGUCAAGAAAAUGACGGUAGCAUAUGAAUAAGCACCGGCUAACUCCGUGCCAGCAGCCGCGGUAAUACGGAGGGUGCAAGCGUUAUUCGGAAUCACUGGGCGUAAAGGACGCGUAGGCGGGUUGCCAAGUCUGAUGUGAAAUCCUACAGCUCAACUGUAGAACUGCAUUGGAAACUGGUAACCUAGAGUAUGGGAGGGGGAGAUGGAAUUAGUGGUGUAGGGGUAAAAUCCGUAGAUAUCACUAGGAAUACCGAAAGCGAAGGCGAUCUCCUGGAACAUUACUGACGCUAAGGCGUGAAAGCGUGGGGAGCAAACGGGAUUAGAUACCCCGGUAGUCCACGCCCUAAACGAUGAACACUAGUCGUCGGGAUGCUAGUCAUCUCGGUGAUGCACUUAACAGAUUAAGUGUUCCGCCUGGGGAGUACGGUCGCAAGAUUAAAACUCAAAGGAAUAGACGGGGACCCGCACAAGUGGUGGAGCAUGUGGUUUAAUUCGAAGAUACGCGAAGAACCUUACCUAGCCUUGACAUUGAUUGAACUCAGUAGAGAUACAGAGGUGCCCUUCGGGGAACAUGAAAACAGGUGCUGCACGGCUGUCGUCAGCUCGUGUCGUGAGAUGUUGGGUUAAGUCCCGCAACGAGCGCAACCCUCGUCUUUAGUUGCCAGCAGGUUAAGCUGGGCACUCUAAAGAGACUGCCUUCGCAAGGAGGAGGAAGGUGAGGAC